ACCCAUAAGUGCUUUCUUUAAAAGAGAAAGCUCUUCAAGAACCUUAAACACAGUUCUGUUGCAGAGUUUCCGACCAAAAGCCAGUUUCUUCUUUAUCUGAUAGAGAGAAAGAAAGAGAGGCAUGGGAGAAGUUACAAACCAUAUUGGUACUAGUAUUAAUUACAAUGGAGAAGAAAGAGAACAAGGAGACGCAGAGAGCAACACACUGAACCAACCUCUUGUUAAGGCUAAUCGAAAACUUUCUUCCACACCACUUGCUUUGGUCGGCACCAAAGUUUCUCACAUCGAGAGCUUGGAUUAUGAGUAUGUCUUCUUCUUCUUUC
rnacentral:lncRNA from 1 species